AUUAAACGCUGGCGGCAUGCCUUACACAUGCAAGUCGAACGGCAGCACGGGGCAACCCUGGUGGCGAGUGGCGGACGGGUGAGUAAAGCAUCGGAACGUAUCCUGGAGUGGGGGAUAACGUAGCGAAAGUUACGCUAAUACCGCAUAUUCUGUGAGCAGGAAAGCAGGGGAUCGCAAGACCUUGCGCUCUGGGAGCGGCCGAUGUCGGAUUAGCUAGUUGGUGGGGUAAAGGCCUACCAAGGCGACGAUCCGUAGCGGGUCUGAGAGGAUGAUCCGCCACACUGGGACUGAGACACGGCCCAGACUCCUACGGGAGGCAGCAGUGGGGAAUUUUGGACAAUGGGCGCAAGCCUGAUCCAGCCAUGCCGCGUGAGUGAAGAAGGCCUUCGGGUUGUAAAGCUCUUUCGGCCGGGAAGAAAUCGCAUGGGUCAAUACCCCGUGUGGAUGACGGUACCGGAAUAAGAAGCACCGGCUAACUACGUG
rnacentral:rRNA from 1 species